AGAAAGAAACCUCUCUAUAAGAGAACGUAGGGGCAUUAUGGGAAAUUGACUCCAUCUAAUUAAUAAAAGUCCCAUCCCACCAUCUCCCCUUCAAGUGAGUACCCAAGCAGCAACCGCAACAUCACAGCACAGCAGCCAUUCAACCCCCUCCCUCCUCUCUCGACCACCCAAGAGGGGAGAAGAAACCGAGAGGAGAAAAUUAAAAGAAUCUCCACCCUCCAAGAAGUCCAUUUCCAAUCCCCCUUCUUCCUGAUGGCCCAGCUGGAUCAGGAGUAAUGUGAGGGAAGGAAAACCAAGACCAAAACCAAACAAGAGAAGGGAUGAAAGAUAAGAGUGGCUUCAGGCGUGUAUCAAGCCAACCAAAUCCCUCCUCUCUCUCUCUCUCCAUACCAAAACAAAACUACCGUCCCCAACUUCCUAAAUUUCCCCUCUGCAGGCCAGGAAACUCUCCACCUCCCUUCAAUCAAGGGGGAAGACUCGUAGCCAGCUCCUAUUCCCAUUUUAUAUGGGGCCUUUGCUUCCUUUUGGUCACGGUCAGACCCAAGAAACUUCUCUCUCUCUCUCUCUCUCUC
rnacentral:lncRNA from 1 species